UUAAAAGCUAUGAUGAGAAGAGUAAGCUUUUUUAAUAUUUUUCCAGAGAGAAAAUACAUUGGUGUGAGUAUUUUUAAAUAUAAUUAGCUGAAAACCACCUCUGAGCGACUUUAAUACAGUACGUUUAAAUCACGUUACGAUUUAUUAAGUGGCAAAAUAAUUUUGCAAUUUGGGUGGAACCACGGGAAUAUACACUCUCGUCCCUUUU
rnacentral:ncRNA from 1 species